ACACUGCCCUUUACUCGGGGAUAGUCUUUCGAAAGAAAGAUUAAUACCCGAUAGCAUAAUGAUUCCGCAUGGUUUCAUUAUUAAAGGAUUCCGGUAAAGGAUGGGGAUGCGUUCCAUUAGGUUGUUGGUGAGGUAACGGCCCACCAAGCCUUCGAUGGAUAGGGGUUCUGAGAGGAAGGUCCCCCACAUUGGAACUGAGACACGGUCCAA
rnacentral:rRNA from 1 species